GGGCAGCGGAGCCGGUGAAGGAAGCCGCAGGCGCGGAUGGAGGCGAAGAGAUCAGGAGCAGUAAAGGAACACUCUCUUCCCCAGUCAGCUGGGAUACGGAUUUUGUAAGGCCUAGGGACUUUGUCUUUGGAGGUCCUGUCUCCAUAAGGCUUCCCAAAACAAAGAAUGUUCAGAUUGGACUGGCCUUAAAAUGCAGUAUUUAAAACAGCAACAUGUCUGACAGAUCCGAGAAAUGAAAUACGUCCAUUUCUUUUGGCAAGGAGCAGAAGGCAACAUAAAGCAGCUGCAAGAAUUAAUUCAUGGAGAUAGUUGACAUUUUCGAGCUGACUGCCUCUUAGAGAAAAUGAUGUCAUUCUCCAGCAGCCUAAUGACAGUCAUCAGCCUGAGAGGACACAUGCUAAUAAGACUAUCACCAGCAAAGAAUUUUCUGAGCAAAUGUGUACUGGAGACCUUCUGAGGAACCCACUAGAGCCUGCACAUCCCCUUUUCCUAGCAAGGUCAACUGGAAAACAGUGUUCUUUCCAAGAUAACGUGCAACUUUCCUUUGGAAUGAUCAGCAGAAUGUCAAAUAAGGAAAGGACAUGUAGAGUUCAUGGGAGGAGACAUUACUUCUGGCUGCAGAAUUAUGGAGGCUUUAUGGGAGACGCCGUAUAUUUUAUCUGUGCGCCUUGAUCACGUGUCUGACCAUGGACAGAGAAACCAGCCUAAUGAGCCUUCUUUACAGGUGACCCUCUAGCCCUUGGUGAACAUCUUGUUUUUAUUCUUUCUUAAUUCCAACACUUAUUCUUGACAACUUUACAAAUGAACAAAUCUUAUUUACUAAAUUGUUGAUGUAGUUUUUGUCUAACACAGGGCUGAUUUUACCCUUGAGAGACGGACACAAGGCUUCAUUUAGGGGAGGAUUAGGUUUGAUGUUUAUUCACUGCACGAGGCAGAUUGGUUUUAGAGACAUGGGUUACAGUCUUGGCUUUUCCUGUUACUGCUUUUGGGUCUUUAGAUGAACAUUUUGCUUUCUCUAGACUCCUUCUUUAUAUAUAAAACAACUACAUCUUUGGACCUAUAAUAACUGUUGGUGGUCUCCAAUGAGACAAGGAUAUGAGGGUGCUUUGUGAAUGGCUACCCAAAUGUAAAAUAUUAUUAUUAUUAUUAUCAUUCAGUAUUAUAAAAUAUUGAUAAAAAUAUUGUCUAGAUUUUUCAGACAUCUUAGAAGUCUUCUUUUUCUUCAGGGAAAAAGAGAACCCUAAAUAUCAAUUAUAAUCAGAAUUUCACAGCAAGUAAAAAUACCUGUGUGUUAAUGAAAUUAAUCCUUAAUGAACCAGAUGACAAUGACUAUUUGAUAUCUGACCUUAAUUUUUUAAACCAGGCAUCAAAACACUUAGAAGUGGGUAGGCAGGGUGAGUACAGAAGAGGAGUGGUGGAAUUCCCUUUACUGUAGGUUAGUUGGAAAGAGAGAAUCAAGAUUCAUAUGACUCUCAGGCAAAAAGAGUGGGAAGAGAUAGACUGAAAUCUCCAUAUUCACAGGUAAGAACAGACAUUUCUUGGCCCAAAUGAUAAAGCAAUGUUCAGCUCUUCUAGUCAAGUCGCCCAUACUGUGGAAUUCCAAGGAAACAGUCUUCACUCCUGUUAAGUGAUAUUCCUGGCCAUUGUCAAUGCGCAAGUCCCACAACAAGGCAGAGACAUUCAUGCUCUUCAUUAACAUUCCCCUAAGGUCUCAGUUUGCAUCUCUCUAUCCAUCUCCUAGCUCUGAAAGGAAGUUUCCUGGGAAACCUUUUCUAUGAAUGGAAUGGAUGAGGUUUGUCCCAUGAGGGAAGAAUUAAAAAAAAAAAAAACAAAAAACACACAGACACACACAACAACAACACAGUACAACAAAAAAACUUCUUUCCCACUGCAGCCAGGAGCAGAUUACGCCUAUCUUUUUUCAAGGACAGGUGGAAAUUCUGACCAUGUGGUAUUCAGUCAUACUAGGAAUGUUGCUCUCUCAAUUUAACAGGAGAGCUUCCUUUCUUACUGAUUAAAAAAGUCAAAAGGGGUUUAAAAUUGCUUAGGUAAAAAGAACUAUGGUUGAGUUUUCUCAGCCACAGAUAAACAUUGGCUCUUUCUGAUCUGCUCUGUUGUCAGCUAUGUAAUGACUCAGUUUGUGCAUUGUUCUCCUUGUUCAGAACAGAAGGGAGAGUAAACCUUAUCCACAGGCUCCUGUUACAAGUAGACCUUCCCCUUCCAUCAGAGGUGGGCUUUGUGCGACACAGUCAGGACAUUCACAAAUUAAAAGAUGAAGAACAGCCCACAUUUUCACCAGCUAUUGAUAUUCCCUAUCCCAGUAAACCAUGGGUUUUCGUCUGAGUAUUUUUUUCCAACUUAAAGAGAGAGAGAGAAAGAGAGAAUAUGUAGGCUAACCAGCUCUAUUGCUAACAAAAGAAAUAGUUAAGAGAGGAAAACAACCAGGGAUGAAAAUCAGGCUUUUAUUUGAAUCUUCUUGCUUCUUUUCAGCACCAGCUUCCUGGCUAACUUGAGCAUCCUAUUCCUGAGCUGGUUGAAAUAUGCCUUUUUUAAAAAAACAACUUUAAUGAGAUAUAAUUUACAUACCAUAAAAUUCAUCUGUUUAAAGUAUGGGACUCAAUGGACCCAGUGGUUUUUAGUAUAUUUAUAGAUUUGUUCAACCAUUACCAUAAUCAAUUUUAUAACAUUUUCAUCAAUCCAAAAGGAAGCCCAGUACCCAUUUGCUGACACUCCCCAUUCUCCCCACUCCACCACCAGCCCUAAGCAGCCACGAAUCUACCUUCUGUCUCUAGAGAUUUGUCUAUUGGAUCUUUCAUACAGAAGCAUGCAAUAAUGUGAUUUGUUUGUUUGUUUUGUUUUUCUCAUGUUUUUUAUUUCUUUAUUUUUUUUAUUAUACUUUAAGUUUUAAGGUACAUGUGCACACGUGCAGGUUAGUUACAUAUGUAUACAUGUGCCAUGUUGGUGUGCUGCACCCAUUAACUCGUCAUUUAACAUUAGGUAUAUCUCCUAAUGCUAUCCCUCCCCCCUCCCCCCACCGCACAACAGGCCCCGGUGUGUGAUGUUCCCCUUCCUGUGUCCAUGUGUUCUCAUUGUUCAGUUCCCACCUAUGAGUGAGAACAUGCGGUGUUUGGUUUUUUGUCCUUUAGAUAGUUUGCUAAGAAUGAUGGUUUCCAGCUUAAAUGUGAUCUUUUAUGACUGGUUUCUUUCACACAGAAUAAUGUUUUCAAGGUUCAUCCAGGCUGUAGCAGCACUUCAUUUCUUUGUAUUGCCAAAUACUAUUCCAUUGUGUGACUAUAACACAUUUUAUGUACCCUUUCAUCUUUUGAUUGACAUUUGGGUUGUUCCCACUUUUUGACACUUAUGAAUAAUGAUGUUGUGAAUAUUCGUGUAUAAACUUUUGUGUGGACAUAUAUUUUCAUUUCUCUUUGGUAUUGACCUAAUAGUGGGAUUGCAAGGUUGUGUGUUUAACACUAUGUUAAAUAUUUUUAGGAAGCCCCAAGCUGUUUUCCAAAGUGGUUGUACCAUUUUACAUUCUCACCAGCAAUGUACCAGGGUAAGACUUAUUUGCAAUUUUCUCCUGCUUAUAGAAUUCUAAAGCUAUGUAAAAGGUUAGAAAUGUAACAGGUGGGUCAUUUUGAUACUUAUUUAGAAAGCCUACUUUUUCUUUCCAAACUACAAACAUUUCUGUUGUCUAAUGAGCAGAUGCUACCAGCUAAUGAAGCAGGAAUACUAAUUUCUUAUUUGAUUCAUAAUAAUAUUCAGUAAUUACAGAGGAAUCUUUACUUAUCUAGCUUUCUGUGUAUAUGUGUUCUACAGUACUAAUUUUUCUUUCUUUUCUUUUAAAAAUUCACCUUCCUUACUGCUUUGUUAUUUAAUGAUUUGUUCUGAUUAUAGACCAUUAAUGCCUGUUUAAAAAAAAAGUCCACAUGUGCAUUUCAAUACCUCUUUUAUUUUAUACUGAUUCAAAGCAAUUCAAUUCUUCAUUCCUAAAAACAUUUAGGCUGAGGCAUAAAAUAGCCAAUUUAAACGAAGUAACAUUUAGUCUUUGAAAUUGCCGUAUAUGUAUUCUUCAUUUAUGCCUACCUGAAAAUGUCAGGUAUGAAAUGAAUUUUAGUGACUCAAUUGUUAUUCUAUAGGCAAAUCCUUAUCUUAUAAACAUACUAGAUAACUUUAUAAGAUAAAUCUGUUUCUAAGACAAAAUUUGUCCAUAAUUCUGAAUUUCUUUCUUUCUUUAUUUACUUAAUGAAAAGGAUGUUUCAUGAACCUUCUAAUUCUUUCCUACUGUGGAUGUUAGUUGGCAUUUUGUAUUGAAUUUCAACAUUUGAGAAUAAGUCAUGGGUCCAGCUAAUCUGCAUAGACCAAUUUGGAGCAGCAUCCUUAAUGAGUGGUGAACUUUCUCUGUUCUCCAGACAAUAUCAACUCUGCCACUUGAAACCAAGGCUUCUAAUGACAUGAACUGAAGGAAAAGUCUUGAUUUCAGAUUUUUGUUUGGCCUGUUUCAUCUCCAUUUGCCGACCCUGGAUUACGCAGAUAGUGCACUGCUUUUAGUAAUCUAGGCCCUUGUGCCAGACCUUGACUGUCAUACUGCAUUAUAACUGAUGGUUCAAAUGCUUCUUUUACAUAAGGAGUAUUUUCUUCCCAGAGAUACCUCUAAGAUAUUCAUGGCUAACUAAAAAUACUCCUGAAUGCUGUUCUCAAGUAGAGUUUCAAGGUCAACAUGAAAAUUGUUAUCACUCUCUUAUGUGACAUAAAAAAAUCUGUUUUAUCUUUGUAACAAUGCUUUCAUUAAAAAAAAAAAAAAGCUUUGCAAUUCCUCUGCUACACUAGUGUUUUCUCAGAUACCAAACAGGCUAUGCCUUGAUGGCAAGAAGAACAAGUUAUGAUUAUUUAUAUGCCAGUGUGCACUUGUUUCCAUCUAGAGUUAUAAACAAUUAGUUUAUGAUAAUCAAUUGUGACAGCAAAAAGGAUUUCUACUCCACUAGCUUAUAUUUCUAAUAACAGAGAAACAGAAGUAAUUUUGAUAAUGUCUUACGUGUCCAGUGAAGUAAUUUCCCUGUUACUGGCUUUUAGCAAGAAUUUAUAAUUAAAUCAGAGAGAAAAAAACACUGGCAGCCAACAUUGUGUCACAUUUAUUUCAAGUGUAAUGUCAAAAAUUUCAUGGAUGGUCACUUGGACAUUGAAAGAGCAAAAAGAUUAGAGAGCAGAAUGGGAUGAUGAGAGGUUCUGUUCAUUUUCCUGCCUUCCCAAAGUAAGAAGGGCAAAUCAAGUAUAAAUAAAACUAUUGCCUUAAUGAGGCUCUUGAGUUUCUGCCUAAACCAACAACGGGAAUAAUGGAAAUCCGCCCCAAAAGUAAUUCUUUUAUAUCUGUUAUUUAAAAGAAGUUGUCUACACACACACACACAC